rnacentral:rRNA from 1 species
AUUGAACGCUGGCGGCAGGCCUAACACAUGCAAGUCGAACGGUAACACGCAGAUGCUUGCUUCUUUUCUGACGACUGGCGGACGGGUGAGACAUGUGUGAGAAACUGUCUGAUGGGGGGGGAUAACUACUAGCAACGGUAGCUACUACCGCAUAACGUCGCCAGCCCAGAGAGGGGUACCUUCUGGCCUCUUGUCAUCGGAUGUUCCCAGCUGGGAUGCGCUAGUAGGUGGGGUAACGUUUCACCUGGGCGACGAUCCGUAGAUGGUGUGAGAGGAUGAGCAGCGACACUGGAACUGGGACACGGUCAAGAGUCCUACGGGAGGCAGCAGUGGGGAAUAUUGGACAGUGGGCGGAAGCCUGAUGCAGCGAUGCCGCGUGUAUGAAGAAGGCCUUCGGGUUGUAAAGUACGUUCAGGGGGGAGGAAGGGAGUAAAGUUAAUACCUUGGCUCAUUGACGUUACCGGGAAAAGAAGCACCGGCUAACUCCGUG